rnacentral:rRNA from 1 species
GUGCUUAACACAUGCAAGUCGAACGGAAAGGCCCUGCUUUUGUGGGGUGCUCGAGUGGCGAACGGGUGAGUAACACGUGAGUAACCUGCCCUUGACUUUGGGAUAACUUCAGGAAACUGGGGCUAAUACCGGAUAGGAGCUCCUGCUGCAUGGUGGGGGUUGGAAAGUUUCGGCGGUUGGGGAUGGACUCGCGGCUUAUCAGCUUGUUGGUGGGGUAGUGGCUUACCAAGGCUUUGACGGGUAGCCGGCCUGAGAGGGUGACCGGCCACAUUGGGACUGAGAUACGGCCCAGACUCCUACGGGAGGCAGCAGUGGGGAAUAUUGCACAAUGGGCGGAAGCCUGAUGCAGCAACGCCGCGUGCGGGAUGACGGCCUUCGGGUUGUAAACCGCUUUCGCCUGUGACGAAGCGUGAGUGACGGUAAUGGGUAAAGAAGCACCGGCUAACUACGUGCCAGCAGCCGCGGU